rnacentral:rRNA from 1 species
AGAGUUUGAUCCUGGCUCAGAGCGAACGCUGGCGGCAGGCCUAACACAUGCAAGUCGAACGGACUCCUUGGAGUUAGUGGCGGACGGGUGAGUAACGCGUGGGAAUGUACCGUGUGGUUCGGAACAACUCUGGGAAACUAGAGCUAAUACCGGAUGUGCCCUACGGGGGAAAGAUUUAUCGCCACAUGAGCAGCCCGCGUCUGAUUAGCUAGUUGGUGCGGUAACGGCGUACCAAGGCGACGAUCAGUAGCUGGUCUGAGAGGAUGAUCAGCCACAUUGGGACUGAGACACGGCCCAGACUCCUACGGGAGGCAGCAGUGGGGAAUCUUGCGCAAUGGGCGAAAGCCUGACGCAGCCAUGCCGCGUGAGUGAUGAAGGCCUUAGGGUUGUAAAACUCUUUCACCGGAGACGAUAAUGACGGUAUCCGGAGAAGAAGC